AAUGGGAUAGUUGGAUCAAAUGGUGGUUUUAUUCCAACUUUUCUGAGGAAUUUCCAUACUGCUUUCCAGAGUGGUUGUACCAGUUUGAAGUCCCACUAGCAAU
rnacentral:pre_miRNA from 1 species